rnacentral:misc_RNA from 1 species
AACGAGGCCGACCUGCGGCUGAGUUACCUGCGGAAGGAUCAUUACAGAGUUCGUGCCCUCGCGGGUAGAUCUCCCACCCUUGUGUAUUCUCUACAUCUUGUUGCUUUGGCAGGCCGUUGGUUCGCCAACCACCGGCUCGCGGGCUGGUGCGUGCCUGCCAGAGGACCUCUCAAACUCGGUUUGUUAGUGUCGUCUGAGUACCAUAACAAUCGUUAAAACUUUCAACAAUGGAUCUCAGAU